GGUUGUGGCUCAGUGGUAAAGCGCUCGCCUUGCAUGUGUGAGGCCCUGGGUUCGAACCUCAGCACCA
rnacentral:tRNA from 1 species